GCUAAUGUCUUGUGUGCAGCCAUGCUACAAUCCACACCACCACUCCCAUUCUUUGGGGGACAUCUUUGUUUUUGCUGGUCUAGCCCAUGCUUCUGACUGGCUUCUGUUUGAAUUGGAAUUCACUUAUCCCAAAACGGUGAGAGAGAGAAACAUGGAGAUACCUUCAGAGUAACUAACCUGGGAAACAACCUGGGUCUACUUCCACUGGCUAACACUAAGGUUUUACUUUCCCACCACCACCCCCCCUCUUUGGAGGACAACUGUUAUCAAUGGCCUGGCCUGAUCCAGGAAUCCUCAGUUUCCACUGCAUCCAUUGCCCUUAGAAGCCUCUUAUCCCACGUCCACUGACAGCCAUGAAGACACUUCACCAACCCAGAAAGGCAGGAACUGCAAGUGGGACGGCUAGCCGCUUUCCGCUAGCUGCCUAGCAAGCAAGCAAUGUUCUUAAUCACAGGAGUGUUAAAAUUGGGUUAAAUGACGUAGCGUUAUCCUUUAACCUGGGCGUUUUGUGUUUUUGCGACUUGCUUUCAUUCCAAUAAAGGAUUUGCACUCAUUCAAUAAAUGUGUGGAUCCAUUGUUUAUUGAUUUGCACGUUGGCAAUGUACGUGCGUGAAGCGGCUAGUACAUCACAAACUUUUUUAUAUGAAUGAUGUUAUUACAUUAAAGGUUGAAAUAUUAUAUGUCAAAAUUCCUGCGAUAGAUUGGUGGCCUGUCCAGGGUGUAAUCCUGCCUCUCGCCCAGUGCACAGCAGGAUAGACUCCAGCACCCCCCGCGACCCUGACCAGGAUAAACACCCGUAUCCGAUGGAUGGAUGGAUGUCAGAUUACUUUAAGAAUUAAGUAAAUUAAAUUUGCCACAAUGUUGGAAGCAUUUCAGUGAGCAGGUGCCCACAUAUUCAGCAGUUGGGACCACUCUUACAUCUCCUUUCAUUCUAUAAUCAGUUAAAUGUAACCUGAUUCUAAAGGAGUCAUUUACUCUCAAACAUGUUAAGGAAGAUCAAAAUAUGUUGUGUGUGGUCAAAAGGCAUGGGAUUUCUUACAUGAUGUAGCUUCAGAAGGUAAACGAUCCCUCAAUCAUUAAAAGCCUCUUAAUUUCUCUAAGGUAUGUCUACCUAUUAAGCCCACUUACCUAUACAUCUCAUUUCUGUUUUUGGAGUUCAGUAGAGAAAAGUCUUUUUCUCUUUGGCUGCUUAACAUCUUGGGCAAUUCAUAUUUUUGUAUCCAUUGAGUACAUUUAUUAUUAUUUACUUUUCUAUUUUUUUCUAUUCUCCACCUCCCUCACAUAUGUGUGUGUGUGUGUAGAACAAGAGAUUACACAAAACAAAUAUCUUUUAUUUCUGAUAAAAAGAUGGGUUUUCUGAGACACGUAAAAUGGCAGCUUAAU